GUGAUCAACCUUGAGGAAGCAUUGGAUCAAUAUGUGGUGGACCUUCCUUGUUGCCGACCAUUGCCAGUUCUACUUCUUCAAGCUGUGCAGGCCUCGGGUGAAGAGGUAGCCUGUAGAUGGUUGGUGUCGCUCGGAGUAUCCUGUCUGCCGGGUCCUACGUCAC